rnacentral:rRNA from 1 species
AGCGAACGCUGGCGGCAGGCCUAACACAUGCAAGUCGAACGAACUCUUCGGAGUUAGUGGCGGACGGGUGAGUAACACGUGGGAACGUGCCUUUUGGUGCGGAAUAACUCAGGGAAACUUGUGCUAAUACCGAAUGUGCCCUUGGGGGGAAAGAUUUAUCGCAAUUAGAGCGGCCCGCGUCGGUUUAGCUAGUUGGGGAGGUAACGGCCCACCAAGGCGACGAUCAGUAGCUGGUCUGAGAGGAUGACCAGCCACACUGGGACUGAGACACGGCCCAGACUCCUACGGGAGGCAGCAGUGGGGAAUCUUGCGCAAUGGGCGAAAGCCUGACGCAGCCAUGCCGCGUGAAUGAUGAAGGUCUUAGGAUUGUAAAAUUCUUUCACCGGGGACGAUAAUGACGGUACCCGGAGAAGAAGCCCCGGCUAACUUCGUG